rnacentral:rRNA from 1 species
UACGUAGGGUCCGAGCGUUGUCCGGAAUCAUUGGGCGUAAAGAGCGUGUAGGCGGCUUGUUAAGUCUUGCGUGAAAUCUCGGGGCUCAACCCCGAGCGGUCGUGAGAAACUGGCAGGCUAGAGUGCGGGAGAGGAGAGUGGAAUUCCUGGUGUAGCGGUGAAAUGCGCAGAUAUCAGGAAGGACACCCGUGGCGAAGGCGGCUCUCUGGAACGCAACUGACGCUGAGACGCGAAAGCGUGGGGAGCAAACAGG